rnacentral:rRNA from 1 species
GCCCCGCGCCCGUCCCUCCGCCACCGGCCGCAUACGGGAGGCAGCAGUGGGGAAUAUUGGACAAUGGGCGCAAGCCUGAUCCAGCCAUACCGCGUGGGUGAAGAAGGCCUUCGGGUUGUAAAGCCCUUUUGUUGGGAAAGAAAUCCAGCCGGCUAAUACCUGGUUGGGAUGACGGUACCCAAAGAAUAAGCACCGUGCUAGAGCUUCUGUGCCAGGCAUGCCGCGGUAAUACGAAGGGUGCAAGCGUUACUCGGGAUUACUGGGCGUAUAGCGUGCGUAGGUGGUCGUUUAAGUCCGUUGUGAAAGCCCUGGGCUCAACCUGGGAACUGCAGUGGAUACUGGGCGACUAGAGUGUGGUAGAGGGUAGCGGAAUUCCUGAGUGUAGCAGUGAAAUGCGUAGAGAUCAGGAGGAACAUCCAUGGCGAAGGCAGCUACCUGGACC